GAUGAACGCUAGCGGCAGGCCUAAUACAUGCAAGUCGAACGGGAUCCAGAUCAAAGCUUGCUUUGGUCUGGUGAGAGUGGCGCACGGGUGCGUAACGCGUGAGCAACCUACCCUUGUCAGGGGGAUAGCCCGGCGAAAGUCGGAUUAAUACCGCAUGACAUCAUUGAGAGGCAUCUUUCGAUGAUCAAAGAUUUAUCGGACAAGGAUGGGCUCGCGUGACAUUAGCUAGUUGGUAAGGUAACGGCUUACCAAGGCUGCGAUGUCUAGGGGCUCUGAGAGGGGACUCCCCCACACUGGUACUGAGACACGGACCAGACUCCUACGGGAGGCAGCAGUACGGAAUAUUGGUCAAUGGACGGAAGUCUGAACCAGCCAUGCCGCGUGCAGGAGGACGGCCCUAUGGGUUGUAAACUGCUUUUAUACGGGAACAAACGUCGGUACGUGUACCGGUCUGAGUGUACCGUAAGAAUAAGGAUCGGCUAACUCCGUG
rnacentral:rRNA from 1 species